rnacentral:snoRNA from 1 species
AGACCAUGAUAAGGACAGUGCUUAAGUAGGUCUUUGUAUCUUUCCCAAGCUUCGUAUAGCGACUCACCAUCAUAUUGUGUAAACGAAGUAAUAUCGCUCCUUAUAUU